AUUGAACGCUGGCGGCAGGCCUAACACAUGCAAGUCGAGCGAGCGGCGGACGGGUGAGUAAUGUAUGGGGACUGCCCGAUAGAGGGGGAUAACUACUGGAAACGGUGGCUAAUACCGCAUACUAUCGGAUAACCCAUAUGGGAUUAGCUAGUAGGUGGGGUAAAGGCUCACCUAGGCGACGAUCUCUAGCUGGUCUGAGAGGAUGAUCAUCCACACUGGGACUGAGACACGGCCCAGACUCCUACGGAGGCAGCAGUAGGGAAUAUUGGGCAAUGGACGAAAGCCUGACCCAGCAAUGCCGCGUGUAUGAAGAAGGUUUUAGGGUCGUAAAACUCUUUUAGUAGGGAGGCGUUAUCUAAAGAGGAAGCAACGGCUAACUACGUGCCAGCAGCCGCGGUAAUAC
rnacentral:rRNA from 1 species